rnacentral:rRNA from 1 species
GACGAACGCUGGCGGCGUGCCUAAUACAUGCAAGUAGAACGCUGAAGAGAGGAGCUUGCGCUUCUGGGAUGAGUUGCGAACGGGUGAGUAACGCGUAGGUAACCUGCCUGGUAGCGGGGGAUAACUAUUGGAAACGAUAGCUAAUACCGCAUAAAAUGGAUUAUCGCAUGAUAAUCCAUUGAAAGGUGCAAAUGCAUCACUACCAGAUGGACCUGCGUUGUAUUAGCUAGUUGGUGGGGUAACGGCUCACCAAGGCGACGUUACAUAGCCGACCUGAGAGGGUGCGCGGCCACGCUGGGACUGAGACACGGCCCAGACUCCUACGGGAGGCAGCCGUAGGGAAUCUUCGGCAAUGGACGGAAGUCUGACCGAGGAACGCCGCGUGAGUGCAGAAGGUUGUCGGGUCGUGAAGCUCUGUUGUAAGAGAAGAACGAGUGUGAGAGUGGAAAGUUCACACUGUGACGGUACCUUACCAGAAAGCGACGGCUAACUACGUG